rnacentral:misc_RNA from 1 species
GACUCAACUCCCUCGGGUUUCCGAGUGGGUUGGACUUGGGUGUUGCCGUCACAGGCUCGCCUCAAAUGAGUUAGCAGAGGAAGCAACCGAGCCUGGCGUAAUAAGUUUCGCUGGUGUUGGGAUGCGGAGACCGCUCACAACGCCCUCGGGCACCUUUUGACUCUGACCUCAAAUCAGGUAGGACUACCCGCUGAACUUAA